rnacentral:rRNA from 1 species
AGCGUUGUCCGGAAUUAUUGGGCGUAAAGAGCUCGUAGGCGGUCUGUUGCGUCCGCUGUGAAAACCCGGGGCUUAACCCCUGGCUUGCAGUGGAUACGGACAGACUAGAGGUAGGUAGGGGAGAAUGGAAUUCCCGGUGUAGCGGUGAAAUGCGCAGAUAUCAGGUGGAACACCAGUGGCGAAGGCGGCUUUCUGGACGGUAACUGACGCUGAGACGCGAAAGCGUGGGGAGCAAACAGG